AUUGAACGCUGCGGCAGGCUUAACACAUGCAAGUCGAACGAGCGGGGGAGGGGUGAGGGAUGCUUAGGAAUCUGCCUAUGAGUGGGGGACAACAAUUAGUAAGGGAUGCGAAAGCCGCUUACUCUUGGAUGAGCCUAAGGCGAAUUAGCUAGUUGGUGGGGUAAGGGCCUCCCAAGGCGACGAUCUGUAGCGGGUCUGAGAGGAUGAUCCGCCACACUGGGACUGAGACACGGCCCAGACUCCUACGGGAGGCAGCAGUGGGGAAUAUUGGACAAUGGGGGGAACCCUGAUCCAGCCAUGCCGCGUGUGUGAAGAAGGCCUUAUGGUUGUAAAGCACUUUAAGCGAGGAGGCGUUACUCGCAGAAUAAGCACCGGCUAACUCUGUGCCAGCAGCCGCGUAAUUC
rnacentral:rRNA from 1 species